CACCGGACAACCCGAGGGACUCGCAGAGCUGGACCUCCCCGCCCGGCAGGCCAGCAGCAGAGCCUCUGAGGCCCUCUCCCACCAGGUGACUUCGACUGCAAAGUUGAAGACCAAUUCACGUACUUCCCACUGGUUUGAGAAAGCAGCCAUCUCACUGAGGGAACAGGAGGAGAAGGCUUUACAGUAUAAAAAUUGUGCCUGAUGUGCCAGGAAAGUAACUCCAGCAAGGGAGAAGCAGAGAGAUUUUAAGAAUCAAACAUCAAGCCAAGAUUCUGUCCAAAAGGAGAUGUUUGCCACAGACACAAGACUCAUGAGUAAUUAUGAAACAGAAAGGAGUGUGGAGCACAAGUGACUAAACACCCCCCAAAAAAGAUCAGAGCAGACAAAUUGUGUCUGUACGUUUUAUAAUGAAUUUGUACUCCUCGAUGAGGCAUUUGAGGGAGUCUCCCAAGAUGCAGGCACCAACGACACCCAAGGAUCUUCUCUCCACCAGGAAUGAAUUCCUCUCUGCCCUCCCCUACUACUUCCACCUCUGUCUCUGGCCUUUCCAGGCCAUCUUGGUUCUUGUCCUCCGCGGCUGGAUGCCUGCACCUGCGCAAUGACUUUCCUGUAACGAGGAUGAGAAGUUAAACCUAUGAGCCCCCUGUUUUAGUGCAUAAGGAUUGGUGAGGACUAACUAUUCCCCCUGGGAUUGUGGAAAUGAGCCAGUGAUCUCCUCGGCACAAAUCUGUCCUUUUAUGCAAAAUAUUAUUAGGUUUUCUAGAGCUCUGCCUCGAUAAAAACCUUCCCUAAUCCAGUACAUUUCAAUAGAUGAAAUGUCUGCUACUGCCA